rnacentral:lncRNA from 10 species
AAAGCCAUGUCCCAUCUAUCUGCUGUCUCUUGAGUGUUCUUCCAGCUCCCUGCCCUCCAUCCACCCUCUCCCCUCAGACCUCAACUGGGGCUUGAACCUGACAUUUGACAUAGUCAGCAGGAUAAGAUUUAGAAGUGGUGGCACUCUUCUGGCGGCAACAUUUAGCAGCAUGUGGUUGGGCUGUCAAUGAAUCCAAGGUCCAAGGGCCUGGAUUGUCUACCAAAUUCUUGGGAGUUAUUUGGUCAGGUUGGCAUGCUCCAACAUCAUUGUGGACAGGGCCCACACCUAUGGCAAAGUGACCAAUGUCUCCAACUGUUGGAUCUGCACUGUCCUUCCAGCAGCAGCUGUAGAUGGCCUGCCGUGGCAUGUACAUUCAGCUUCUGUGAAAAACUGGAUGAGGCUAGAGACUUGGGGUCUCAUGGACAAUGGUUGGGAUGCAACAUGGCAAACUUUGGAUAGGGGGCAUUGCAAAACCUGCAUUGCAAAAAAUGCCUGCCCCCUGGCUGACCCAUAGCAUUCAUGAUGAAUGGGGCUGGCUAAUGAGAGAACACAUGGUGCCCCCAUUGCAGGUACCAUAAUAUAUAGAUCAACACUGGGGUAAAGUCACUGUGGGAUGGUUGCCCACCGUGGCCUGUAAAAACAUAACACAUGUCACCACACCAAGGCUGUGGUGGAACAAGCUGCCUUACCGAGGCUGAGCCCUGAUGGACUUUGUAUCCCUGGGAGUUUAUGGGUCUGAGGGGACACGGGAUGGCCAUAUCUGCCAGCCAAUUGGACUGGAUGUUUUACUUGGCGGUGCCCUUAUGUGCCUGCCACCGUACUUCCCUCAUUGCCUAGGUGCCUGCACAACUGGAAGGUGCUACAUUCCUGGUUUUCGCCAGUGUGGUGGGCCCCCUGGUGGCUCUACCCCUUAGCAAUAACUAUCAUUGGAGCAGUUUUCAUCACUGUAGAAAUGCAGAUUACAGCCCUUGCAUAACACACAGUUCAGGUCCUGAAUUACACCCGAGUUGCCCUCCUUCUAUUAAUUGAUGAGGUUGAUCAAACCAGGAAGGUAGUACUGCAAAACUGGAUGGCCUUAGACAUAGUAACAGCUGACCAAGGUGGCACCUGUGCCCUUACAGGGUCACAAUGUUGUACAUAUAUCCCUGACAACCACCAGAACAUAAUAGCAGCUUUACAAGGGGUGUUACAGGAGAUUAAGGUGAUUGAGUGCCUUAUUGAUGACCCCCUACAGAGAUGGUGGGCGUCUCUGGGCUCUAACCUACAUUGGGCCCUAAUAAUAAUGGGUAGUUAUAGCAGGAAUAUUAGUGAUAGGCUGUUGCUCCCUGUAUUGUUGCUGUGGCCUAUGGGUUCAGGGUGCCAUCAUAUGUGCACAGGUCCCCACUAAGAGGACUCCCCCGGCCUAGGGGAUGGAUUGUAAGGAACAUGGCUGUACUGCAGCCAGGCAGGCAUAGGCCGAGGUAAACAUCCUGCAUGACUCAGUGGGAUUGGAGUGCAGGUGCACAAUUCCAUGCAUUAUAUAACCACAGCUAUGUAGCCAUAACAUGGGAAGGCUCAUCACCUGGCUCUGAGCCACUAUUGUCUGUGAGGUGUAUAAAUGCAGGACUGACACUGUGAAAGAGCUGCUGAAUAAAGCCAUGUCCCAUCUACCUGCUGUCUCUUGAGUGUUCUUCCAACUCCCUGUUCCCCGUCCACUCAGUCCCUUGGGACCUCGGCUGGGGCUUGAAGAUGACAAUAUAGUUCCUCAAUACUUUUUAAAAGAAUAAAUGAACAUAUGAAUGAUGAAAGACAAAUAACACUAUUUUAG